rnacentral:tRNA from 1 species
GGAGGUGUAGCUCCACGGUAGAGUGCUUGCCUAGCAUAUGUGAAGCCCUGAGUUCAAUCCCCAGCACCCCCU